rnacentral:rRNA from 1 species
AUCAAUGGCCGCGGUACUUUGACCGUGCUAAGGUAGCGCAAUCAAUUGGCCUUUAAUUGGGGCCAGGUAUGAAUGGAGUUACGUGGUUCGACUGUCUCCUCAAUUAGUUUAUUGAAAUUACUAUUUAGGUGAAAAAGCCUAAAAAAAGAAAAAGGACGAGAAGACCCUUAGAGUUUAACUUAAGUCAGACAAUUCCUGAACCAGUUUAGUUGGGGCAACUUUGGAACAGAUAAAUUUCCUUAAAGUAACAAACCGAUUUUAAUAAAUGUGGAUAAACUACCUUAGGGAUAACAGCAUAAUUUUAUAAAUAAGUUUGUGACCUCGAUGUUGGACUAGGAAAUUUAGGGGCUAGCCGCCUU